rnacentral:rRNA from 1 species
AAUCCUACGGGACGCAGCAGUGGGGAAUAUUGCACAAUGGGGGAAACCCUGAUGCAGCAACGCCGCGUGAGUGAAGAAGGUUUUCGGAUUGUAAAGCUCUGUUAGAAGGGAAGUGGAAGGACGGUACCUGCAGAGGAAGCCACGGCUAACUACGUGCCAGCAGCCGCGGUAAUACGUAGGUGGCAAGCGUUGUUCGGAAUAACUGGGCGUAAAGGAUGCGUAGGCGGUUAACCAAGUUAUAUGUUAAAUAUACAGG